GAGANCGGGUGUACCUAAAGUCGGUAACCGCAAGGAGCCGCCUAGGGUAAAACUAGUAACUGGGCU
rnacentral:rRNA from 1 species